GCCAUACGGACGCAAACACGUCUCUGGCGCCCAUCACUAUAUCCAUACCAACCCCUGUGCACUGUGAUGACGAAUGUCAUCGAACAAAAAAAACUCGUAUGGUUGAAUGUACGUGAAAUUGUAGGUAUAGCCUACGAACUAUACACAACUUUCGACAACGGAUCUCUUGGUUCUCCCAUCGAUGAAGAACGCAGCGAAACGCGAUAGGUAAUGUGAAUUGCAGAAUUCCGUGAAUCAUCGAAUCUUUGAACGCACCUUGCGCUCCAUGGUAUUCCGUGGAGCAUGCCUGUUUGAGUGCCGCGAAUUCUCCCUCCCCUUACGGUGGCCGAAAGGCCGAAGUAGGGCGGACGGGGUAGGAUGGGUGUUGCUGCCUGGGGAUUGUACCAGGCUCGCCCGAAAUGCAUAAGCGCCAGGACCCUCGCUACCGCUCUCUAGGGAAGAGUGGCUAAGCGACCGCUGAGCAUGGCAUGAUACGUCAUUUGCUGUGUGUGGGCGGCCGGUUGGAGAGGUGUCUGCUUUACCAGCCCUUUUUUAAUUCUGGUCUCAAAUCAGGUAGGAUCACCCGCUGAACUUAAGCAUAUCAA
rnacentral:rRNA from 1 species